AGUCGGUCCUGGCUGGCCGCAGGGAAGAGCCGGCACCAUGAGUCACGUAGUGACCAUCGAAGAGCCCCAGGCCAAGCCGCCGGUGUCUCAAACCCGGUGCAGAGGGAGGUCGGGGCCCUGGGGCAAAGUCUCUGCCAAUCGAACAUAUGAUUUCCUAUACGAUCCAUUGUUUAUCGUGUCAAGUGAGAAAGAACACAACCAGGCAAAUAUUCAGGCCACCCUGAUUCGAAGCAGACUGAGAAGGGUUCCCAGGUAUAGAACCAUGUUCAGUAGCCUGUUUCAUUAUCCAAGAUAUUCUGUAUAUUGGAGCAAGGCAGAUCCUGUUCCAUCAUUCAUCAGUCGGGACUGGAAGGGACAUGAGGAGAGACACAAAGAAGCCCUCCGGAAACUUGCUGUAACUGACACUUCUUUUCCGAUGCCUAAAGAAGUUUAUGAAGAUCCUGAUGUUACUGGAAAGAAUCACUAUAAAUAUUUUGAAAGGCCUUUCCUUCCAUUUUAUCAACAGUUGCCAUUCAAUGUUGUUUUUGCAUCAACCAGGGCAGAGCCAUAUACCUUUCCUCCUCCUUCCACUAAGUACCUCCCCAUUCCUUCAAAGUAUACUGUGGGCACUCAGACUGAUUAUCGCGAUGCCGAAGUUCAAACAGACCCGUAUUCUCCAGAAUACGUAGUAUGUCAGAAUUCCAUCCCUGAACUGCUGACCCUGGCUACUCUCACUUGGGGUCGAGGUCUCCCGGCAGGACAAGCUGAGGUAGAGAUGAUAGAACGUGCCCGGGAGAAGCGUGCUUGGGAAGCCACUCUCCCCACUCUGAGUGACACCUCCCAGUUUGAGAAGAGGAGGAGGAUGAUGAAUGCCAUGGAGAGGAAGGAGUGGGCCUUCAGAGAGCAGGAGAUCGAAAAACUGCAGGAGAUUCGCCUGGAAGUUCUAAAAGAGCUGCUGAAGAAGCGUGAUGAGAAUCAAAAUGAAGUAAACAUGGCGUGCUUGAAUGCCCAGUGGUCUAAACUGCAGGAGGUGAAGGAGGCAAAGUUGGCACAGAUUCACCACACACACGUAUCAGCAAUCAGAAAACUUUUGGGAAAGGGAAAGAAUAUAGAAGGGAAGUUGGAGAGAAGAAAUAUCAUCAAGGAUUAUUCUGAUUAUGCAUCACAGGUCUAUGGACCUCUAUCUCGCCUUGGUCGUUUCACAGACAACAACUCAGAGGACUUUGUAGUAAAAAACCACUAUCUCAACACCUAUGAAGGGUUAGUCGAACUUGAGUCAUGUCUCCCAGAUUUUGUGACACAACCCCGAAUCAGAUCUCCAAAACCAAAAGUCACUACCACCAAAGAUGGUUUUCUAAAGAGGGCUGCAAGGAUGGACCAUGAGUUGGCAGAGUUUCAUAAGGCACUGUUGGAAAAGAAGAAUAAGGGCCCCGAAGCAAAGAAACCAUUGCGUUUUCUCCAAAGAAAGCCAAUACCUCAACCUCGACUUCCAACUCCAACUUUGGAGAUGAAUUCCAAUGAAGAAGAAGAUAUAGAAAUGGCUGUGAUCUACCUUCAAAAGUUACUCCGGGGCAGAGUCGUUCAGAACAUGAUGUUUGAAGGAAAAGAGAAGCGACUGGAGUUGAUCCAGGAGCUGCGCACCAGCCACGCACUGCAAGAAGAGGACAGGCUGGUGAAGAAAGCCGAGAAGCAGGUGACCCUGGCCUUGCAGCGACAGAGGAACCUGCACGAGCACAAGGUGUCACUGAUUGAAAACCAUUUGGCUGGACUGGAAGGAUGGGUGCUGGCAGACAUGUUUGACUUCCUGUCCAAAGAGCUGGUGAGACUGCAGGAGGAGAGGAGGGUCCACGCCCUGGUCAUGUUGGCUGAGAGGCAGCGCAGGAUGCGUGAAGCCGAAGAGAGUGGCCGGCGCCAGGUGGAAGAGAGGCGCCUGCAGGAGGAGGACCAGAUAUUUAAGGAGGUAAUUAAAGUUCACCAAAGUACUGUAACUUCCUAUCUGGAGGAUAUAAUACUGAACACUGAAGAGAAUACUGCAGAAGAACAAGCCAGGGCAGAAAUAGAGAAGAUGGCUGAGGAAAUCAAUGACAUUGCUUAUGAAAUGGAAAGCCGUCGAACUCAGCUUCAGUCAGAGGAGAUCGUUGCCGAGUUGGUUUAUAGUUUCCUGAUCCCAGAGUUGCAAAAGGACUUUGUCAAAGAAAAAGUGAGGAACGCACAGCAGAAGCACAUCCUCGCAGCCCAUAAGGUCAUCCACAGGCACACGGAAGACAUGCUCCAGAAGCAUUGUGUUGAGCAACAGCAAGCAUCAGACACUGAGCUACUUGAGGGAGAAACUGAAAAUGAGCAAAACAGCUAAGACUAUGAUCUUUUUAAAAAGAAGCUAUACAAAUCAUCAUAGAGCAUUCCAGUCCUCUGUGCUUCUCCUAAGAUGUGCAGCUCUUAUGGGCUUGUCAAUAUGUGAUGCAUGAGAAAACAGAUUUAUUUUCUUUAAACUCCCAAUAAUUUAAAAUGAUUUUCAGUAAUAAUAAUCAAAUGAAGGAGCCUUAUUCUCUUUGGUGUUUCCCAGAGGUCUACUUCAAAAGAAAAUUUUCUCAUGUCUCAUUUCAACAUUUCGUUAACUAUGAAGAUAUGCCAGCUCGUUGAAUCAAAUAAAAAAUGUUACUGGAUAUUUAAGUGGUUUUGGUUUGCUAUUCAUAGUGCAUUGGCAUUAUCUGUUAAGACUGAAAAUAUGCAAUCCCCAUGACCCAGCAUUUCAUUCUCACAACAUUUCAUUCUCUGGAAGAAAUGCAUGAGUAUGUACACCAACAGGCAUGACAAGAAUGCUGUAGCAGUACUAUUCAUGCUGGCCCCAAAUGUCUAUCUACAUAGGAAUAGAAAAGUAAACCUUGGUAUAUCCAUACAAUGGCACAUCAAGUCACCACUGAGCUUUAGCUCUGAGAAGUAUAUUCAUGCAACACCCAUGGAGAGGGUGCUGCUGGAGAGCAAUUUGCCCAUCCUACAUGUUGACAAGUGUCAGGGCUGAAUGGAUCUCUCCUCAUUUAAAGAUCAGUAAAUAGGAAAAACAAUAAAUAAACAAAAGCAUCCACAACAAAUCAACAUAGGACCCAUGUAAAGAACUUAUAAAAGAAAAUGUAUGUUAUCGGAAAACAAUAAAAGCAUAUCUUAGGAAAUAUCUUACUGUAAUAGGGAAGAGCUAGUUCUGACUCCAUGUUGGAUCUGUUUCUUUUACUUUAACCUUUGCUUUUCAUUGCUUUUGUUACUAGAGUCACUGUCUGUAACUGUAAGCUUAAUGGCCUGCCACAGGGAACCCUGCUCCUCUGCCUGUUAAACUACAGUGCCUUUGUUCAGCUCACAGAGAGACAUUCUGACCCUGUCCACCUGUGAAUGGCUGCAGAAAAGAAGAAAUUAACACAUCCCCUCCUCAAUGCGGCCAAGCAAGGAGAUAUUUUGCAAGAUAAAUGGCCUUUUUACUUUACUUCCUCACCUCCUCCCCCUCUCUGUUCUAUAAAAGAAACUGGCAUCGAGACGUGGAUAAGAUGGUUAUGUGAGCAGAGUGAGCUUGGACUCGGUAACAAAUUUGGCUUAGCCAGCCAGGAGCCUUGCUGAUCGUGGCUAGCGGAGCAAGGCCCUAGCAGCUGCCAGGACCAUUUGUCCUGUGGAUCUUCCCUUCAGAACUCCCUGAAGUGGCACCAGCUACCCCAGCACUUGGCAGUUGGUGCAAGGAACUGAAAAACUUCUAUGAGUCGACAGACUCAAUUCUGGAGGGUAAGUUGCUCAGGUGUGCACACCGGGACCAUAUUCCCCCCUCAAUUUGGGCUUUUCCUUUAUAAGACAAGCUAAUUUGUUUGGUUGGGGUACCCUGUUGGAGAAGGGAAUUGUUGGACUCUACCUGAUUUGGGAACGGGUUCAUUGGUUUUGGUUUUGUGUGCGUCAGUGUUGGAAUUUGUGCUUUUUGUGUUGGAAUUUGUUUGCAUCUUUUGUGUUUUGGUGUCAUCAAACUUAUGAAAAUGGGAAAUAACUCCAACUAUCCUGAAGAAGAGCCCUUUGGGGGUGUAUAUUAAAUAAAUGGGCAAAACAUAGAUGUGAACCUAUGACUAAGAGAGACAUGAUAUACUAUUGUAAUAGGGUGUGGACCCAAUGUAUUUAAGUUCAGAAGAGCAAUGGCCCCUGAAUGACUCACUCAAUUAUUACACGAUCUCACAAUUAGAAGUGUUUUGCAAAAGGGCAAAGAAAAGAGAUGAGAUUCCAUAUGUAGGAGCAUUUAUGCUACUGCAUCAGGAGGAAAAGGAGUCAGAGGGCUGCCACCUUAUGGUGUAGUGGUCUGAAAGGAAACCCAAGGGGAAACCUGUUCUACAAGAAGAGGGAGAAAAUGAGAGUGGGGACAUGUUACUUCAAAAUCUAAAGCCCCUCCAGCCUAUCCAGCUCCCCCACUGGCCGAGCAGGCUGCACCGGCAGUUGUUUCAACUGCCCCCCAUGCCACCAACAUAUUCACUCCUUUCACCAUCUCCUGUUUCUCCUACCCAUGGGGAUCGAAUAGAAGUUUCUAUAUUAACCCCUGGAGCAUAGGGACGUAGUUUAGUAUUACCAUCUAAGACCCGACAGGGCACCCAAUUUGGACUGGGAGCCACUUCCACAGCAGGGCAAUUUCCCUUGCACUGAUAUCCUGUAAGAGGCCAGGAGACUCCUUUAGACUUGAGGCAUCUGAUUCUAAUUUCCCCACAGGAGCCCUGGGUAACUCUGACAGUAGGGAACAAGUUGAUUGACUUUCUAAUAGAUACAGUGCCACAUAUUAUGUGGUAAACACCAAGGUGGCACAGAAAACAUCUCAGUCUAUCCCGGUCACAGGAAUUUCUGGAGAAGUACAAAACCAUUCAUUCUUACAACCUCUUAGAAUGCCAACUAGGGAACCUCACCCUGAAACACAGCUUCUUAUAUAUGCCAGA